GGUGGGUUGGCUCAGUGGUUAGAGCGUCGGUCUCGUAACCGAAAGGUGGUGGGAUCGAAUCCCGCUAGAGGCUG
rnacentral:tRNA from 1 species